UGGCGGCGGGCGGUGAUGGGCGCGUGUGCCCUGCUCUCCAGCCGCGCCGACCCGGCCAGGAGCGUUCGCUGCGCCCCCGGGACGUUAUGGGAGUCCGGUGUCCAAGCGGAAGCCGGCCGCGCUCCUAGGCGUCCCCCUCGGGUGAGGACCUGACCUGUGUACCUCGCGACUGCAGGAGGGCAGGUGGCCCGGUGGAGGAGUGCGCGGCCCCUGGUUCCCCAGCCUGAGGAGACCCCAGGGGGCAGCCAGCUCCCAGCCACAGCUGCAUGAAGGACCAGCCCACAGUGGGGCUGUGGUGGACACCGCUUGUCACCAAGGCGUGGCAGAAAUGGAAUAAAUAAACGAUAGUGGAUUGUG